rnacentral:lncRNA from 1 species
GAAAAGACAAAAUCUGUGAAUCUAAAAAAUAAUUAGUAUUUUUUUUUUUAGAUAUUUGCACUUGUGUAGUUAUUAACAUACACUAUUUUCAAGUGACCUGUUAGCAAAAGUUCACAAUAAUCUUUACCUAAUAUUCUACAAUAUUUGUUGUUGUGAAUAUAACAGGAAUGUGUCCCCAGUACAUGGGUGCCCCACUCGCACUAUCAUUUGUUCAGUGGACAAUAAAAUUCGGGUAAAAACUCUAAUUUGAUAUUAAAAUUAGAAAGGUCAUAUCAUAGGGAACAUGUGUACUAAGUUUCAAGUUGAUUGGACUUCAACUUCAUCAAAAACUACCUUGACCAAAAACCUUAACCAAAACUUUAACUUUAAGCGGGUUGGACAGAUGGACAAACGAACGGACGGACACACAGACCAGAUAACAUAAUGCCCAUCUACUAUUGUAGGUGGGGCAUAAAAAUGUAUUUGAAUAGCACUAAUAACAUUUUAAAGCUGCAUGUACAUGUAUAACAUUAUUAGUGUAUACACAAACAUCUAACACUUAAAAAACCCACAAAAAGUGACAAACUCUUCACAUAUACAUUAAAACAUUUUAUACAUUUAUGUAUUACAAAAUUACACAUGCAUAGCA